rnacentral:rRNA from 1 species
UACGUAGGUGGCGAGCGUUGUCCGGAUUUACUGGGCGUAAAGAGCGCGCAGGCGGUCGGCCAAGUCGAGUGUGAAAGCCCCCGGCUCAACUGGGGAGGGUCACUUGAUACUGGUCGACUCGAAGGCGGGAGAGGGAAGUGGAAUUCCCGGUGUAGUGGUGAAAUGCGUAGAUAUCGAGAGGAACACCAGAGGCGAAAGCGAGUUACUGGACAGAAUCUGACGCUGCAGCACGAAAGCUAGGGGAGCAAACGGG